CCUACGGGUGGCAGCAGUAGGGAAUCUUCGGCAAUGGACGAAAGUCUGACCGAGCAACGCCGCGUGAGUGAAGAAGGUUUUCGGAUCGUAAAACUCUGUUGGUAGAGAAGAACGUUGGUGAGAGUGGAAAGCUCAUCAAGUGACGGUAACUACCCAGAAAGGGACGGCUAACUACGUGCCAGCAGCCGCGGUAAUACGUAGGUCCCGAGCGUUGUCCGGAUUUAUUGGGCGUAAAGCGAGCGCAGGUGGUUUAUUAAGUCUGGUGUAAAAGGCAGUGGCUCAACCAUUGUAUGCAUUGGAAGAUGGUAGACUUGAGUGCAGGAGAGGAGAGUGGAAUUCCGAGUGUAGCGGUGAAAUGCGUAGAUAUUCGGAGGAACACCGGUGGCGAAGGCGGCCAACUGGGCUUUAACUGACGCUGAGGCUCGAAAGUGUGGGGAGCAAACAGGAUUAGAUACCCUUGUAGUC
rnacentral:rRNA from 1 species